AUGGAAGGAGGAGAUUUAAAUUCGGAGCAGAAAAGCAGUAUUCACAAAAAGAGCACAGCUUCCUACAAAGGCAAUUAUAGAUCAGGGGCUGCCAAACUACAGUUUAUGGGCCGAUUCCAGCUUACAUCCUGUUUUUGUUAAUAAAGUUUUAUUGGCAUGCAGCCACGGCCGUUCGUUUAUGUAUCAUCAUUGUCUGCUUUUGAGCAACGAUGGCAGAGUGGACCAGUCACAGCGCGGCCCUCAAAGCCUAAGAUAUUUACCAUCUGACUGUUUACAGAACACAUUUGCCAACCCCUAUUCUAGAUCGAUCAGUUAGAUAGAACCCAUUGUAGAAUCCUCAGACCACCCAUAGACUAUCUAGAACCCACUGCCUAAGUUAGAGCCCAGCAUGGUUUUCUAGAGCUCCCUGUAAGAAUAACAUUUGUGUGGGGAUUUAGUCGUUUACAGUGAGCUUUUGCAUCAAUUAUCCCAUUUAAUCCUUCAACAAGCCUGUGUGAGGUUAAUGGUAAUUUUAUCCCAAUUUUGCAGAUGAAAAAACUAAGACAAAGGGAAAUACAGAGACUUGCUGAAGACCACAUGGCUGGGGACAGCCGAGCCCUGGGCAGCCUGAUCCUAACGUUCCAUGCUCUUUCCACCACAUUAACCUACAGAUGUUUCUCUGUCACACAUUCCACCACCGAGCUGCCCUCCCUGACAAGCCAUUUCCCUCCUCCUUCCUAACAUCUCUGCUGCCACUGAGGAAGCUUUUUUGUCCAUUGUGCUGCCUUAGUGGGAGAGAGCGUUUGGAAGAGAAUCGAAUUUCCUUUCUGCAUCUGUGUGCUGGUGCCCAGUGCACCCUGGGACGCUAACGAACAGUGACAGAUGAGCUUCAAUUGGCUGGCGCGUGUGAGGAACCACUGGACCAGGCAAAAGAAAGCAUCAUCGGAGCCCAGCAAGGGAGGAGGAGAGAGGCUUUGCUUCAUGAAAGCCUGAACAGCAUCCAACCGAAACCAGCCGCCGCCGUGCCCUGACGUGGUACUCUGCAGUUUUCAGAGUGCAUCGCAUCCAUUAUCUCCCCUGACCCGCAGACAGGCCGGCGAAGAAGGCUGAUAUGAGGUCACCCAGCCCCGUGCAUGUGGCCCCUCAAAUGCUUCCUGCGUUCCACCCCUUCUUCUCCGUUGCAUGACCACUGCCCUUUCAAUUUCUCCCGGGAUUGUUGCAAUAGCGUCUCACUGUCUCCUGCUCCCAGCCCGCACCCUCCUGUGCCCCCUUGCUGAGUAAUCUUUCUGUACCGAAAAUUUGUUCAGCCUACAGAUGGUGUCACAGCCUCCAGUGGCCCCACUAAAGUCCCAACUCCCAUGCGUUCAAGGACAGCUACCCCUCUCUACAAGCCCCUUUCCUUGCAGUUUCCCUUGGAGGUGAUGAUGAGCUUUCUGAAUACACCAACCUCUUCUGGGGCCAUACCUCUGCUCAUGCCAUGAGCCUAGGCUGGACCUCUGGUCUCUUCCGUCUUGCUGACCAACCCUUAGGCUUCUUUAAGACCCAGUUCAGCAUCAUUGACUUCAGGGGUCCCCUGCCCACCUGGCUGCCCAUGUUCCCAUGGAGCUUGUACCCAAGGCUGUUGUAUUCCUUACCAGCUAAUGGUCCCCUUGGUCCUUCCUGCACCCAUUCCCUCUUGUACCGCACUGGAAACUUGUCAAGCUGAGAGAUAGUGCUCCUCACUGCCAGAUCCUCUCCACCCGGUGUGGUUCAGGCACCUAGUAGCUACUCAGCUGGCAUUGAUGAAAUUGAGUUUAUAGGUGAGGGCACCGAGGCUCAGAGCAGUCAAGGCUGGGGAGAAGCCCAGCUGGUAUCCUUCUCCUGUCACUACCCCUCCCUGCCUCCCUGUUUGCUCUGGGGUCUCAGCAUCAUCCACAACCCACAUGCCACCGUUCAGUUACCAAAGAUACCCCUGACUUGUCUCUGCCCAACCCUUCCUUCCUCAUCUUUUCUCUAUCAGCUUCACAACCUUGGACCAGCAAGGCCAUUGCAAUAAAAGCCGAGGUUGGGAAGAGUGAGGCUCAGAGACCACAGAGAUACUUUGACACAUGGAAAAAGGCAAGACUUCCUUCCCAGGAGAUUUAUCGUUCUUCAAAAAAAUGGGGUUCUCAAAGAUUCAAGUUCACGGUGAAGAGAUGACAGUACAAGUGCUGGGAGCAAAUCACCGGGUCGACUCCAGCAGCCGGGCAAGCCCACGAGAGGUAGGAUGGAGCCCGAGUGAUCCCUGGCCGGGGACUGGCGUGCCUCGCUGCCUCAGCCGAGAUGGGCCCCGGAAAGGACUGAGGGCAGCAGUGGGCAGUGAGGACUUCCCAGCCUGCCCAGGGCCGACAGCUCGUCUGACGUCAAAGCUCAAAGACCCCAGGCCAGUGGGGCCUGGAGUGACUCUUGCUAUUCGUUCAAUGUUCAAGCGAUAUUUAUUGCAGGCCUACAGUAACAACCACCACGGCAGUAAUAAAACAGUAGAAGUAACAGCUGA